rnacentral:sRNA from 1 species
CGGCACGAUAUGUAUGCAUAGCAAGAGCAUGUGCUCAGAUCUUUUGGGAGGACCCAGGGGCGGAGAACAUGCUGCAACAAUGGGGAGGGCCUCUCAUUGGAAAGCACAAGCCUGACUGGCCAGCAAGCUAGCAUUCUUCCUAGAACCCCUGCGUUAAUGCUCCAGUAACCAAACACUUGUGACAUGAACUGCACCUGCCAUCACAACAAGCUUCGUUUUCUGGAGGUAGAAAAACUGAGUGAAUUGUAUGAUUCAGCUACAUUUGUUUCCCAAUGCAGUCAUAUCCUGAGUGCAUCGCAUGACAUAUUGGAUGAUCUCUAAUGAUGUCUAAACUCUAAUGAUAACUGGAGUCUUAGGGAGCCUAGAAUCUGCAGGUCUGCUGCAGUGGUG